GGCAGAGCAGUACAAUGGUUAGGGUGUUGGACUGGGAUGUGGGAGAGCCAGGUUCAAACCCUGCCUCUGUCA
rnacentral:tRNA from 1 species